UACGGAGGGUGCAAGCGUUAUCCGGAUUCACUGGGUUUAAAGGGUGCGUAGGUGGGUUGGUAAGUCAGUGGUGAAAUCUCCAGGCUUAACUUGGAAACUGCCAUUGAUACUAUCAAUCUUGAAUAUCGUGGAGGUCAGCGGAAUAUGUCAUGUAGCGGUGAAAUGCUUAGAUAUGACAUAGAACACCAAUUGCGAAGGCAGCUGGCUACACGAAUAUUGACACUGAUGCACGAAAGCGUGGGGAUCAAACAGG
rnacentral:rRNA from 1 species